UGGGGAAUAUUGCACAAUGGGCGCAAGCCUGAUGCAGCCAUGCCGCGUGUGUGAAGAAGGCCUUCGGGUUGUAAAGCACUUUCAGCGAGGAGGAAGGUGGUGAGCUUAAUACGCUCAUCAAUUGACGUUACUCGCAGAAGAAGCACCGGCUAACUCCGUGCCAGCAGCCGCGGUAAUACGGAGGGUGCAAGCGUUAAUCGGAAUUACUGGGCGUAAAGCGCACGCAGGCGGUUUGUUAAGUCAGAUGUGAAAUCCCCGGGCUCAACCUGGGAACUGCAUUUGAAACUGGCAAGCUAGAGUCUCGUAGAGGGGGGUAGAAUUCCAGGUGUAGCGGUGAAAUGCGUAGAGAUCUGGAGGAAUACCGGUGGCGAAGGCGGCCCCCUGGACGAAGACUGACGCUCAGGUGCGAAAGCGUGGGGCAGCAAACAGGAUUAGAUACCCUGGUAGUCCACGCUGUAAAACGAUGUCGAUUUUGGAGGUUGUGCCCUUGAGGCGUGGCUUCCGGAGCUAACGCGUUAAAUCGACCGCCUGGGGAGUACGGCCGCAAGGUUAAAACUCAAAUGAAUUGAC
rnacentral:rRNA from 1 species